GUCGAUCGAUCCAAGAACGAAAAUAAUUUAAAGAAGACAUAUUUUUUAUGAAUCAAAUUCGUGUGUAAAUAGAGUAAGAGGAAGGAUGAAGAUAUGGAGUGAAUGAAGAGGAAGAGGAGUGCUUGUAUUUAUAGUCUAAAUCCUGCCGACAGACCGAGGAAAUUCCGACGGAAUUCCGACGGAAAAGGCUAGUUCGUCGGAAUUUCCUCGGAAUUUUGUAAAAUC
rnacentral:lncRNA from 1 species